rnacentral:misc_RNA from 1 species
AGAGAGAGAGAGAGAGAGAGAAAGUCAAGUUCUUCCCCAAAUUCAAGGACAUCAUAACUAAACCAAUAGAUUGUCAAAUUCAAAAAAUGGGCUUAACUUGAAGCACAUCUCAGAUGUCAAGAUUAUGCAAGCCUAGUUAGAGAACAUGCAAAUAGUGUGAAAAAGCAAAAAGUAUGCAGCCUGCAUCCGUUUCAUUAAGUUCUAUUGUCUUCCCAGUUCCCACUAUUAAGAGGAAGAAAAAUUAAAAAAGAAAUUUAUGGACAGAUGUUUUUAAAAGAUGGAAGAGUAACUGCAAGAAAGUUUAGAAGGAAGAAGUCUAUAAUAAUAUUAGUCAAAUUCCAGAGGAUAUUCUAUCCAAAUUGUUAAAAGGAAAAAAAGACCAUUAUAUUUCCAAUAGGCCAAUACAUAAAAUUGGGUCCUGGUACUAGGAGUGUGCACAGUUUGGUCUACACUGGUAAUUUGAACCAAAUCAUAAAGUAAUUUUGUUUGGUUUAACCCUCCAAAUGGUUCAAUUUGA